AGUAUCAGUAUCAACAUCACUAUUAACGGCUUGAUGUUGAUUAUAAAGCAUAUUAUUUCUUGCUUGAUUUCUCAUUUCUUUGAAUUUUUCAAAUGGAUCUUUUUUUACUUUAUUUUGCUCAACCGACUCCUUUGACUUCUCCUCUUUCAAAUUUUUACGUUCAUUUUCUUUGGCUUCAUUUUCCAUUUCUUUUGCUUGUUUUUUCUGAAGACGCUCUUGUUUCUUUCUUUCUUGUUCUUCUCUUCGUUUCUGUCUCUUUAGUUCCUCCUCUCUUUUUUUCUCCAGUUCUUUUUGUUUCUUUAACUCCUCUUCUCUUUUUUUCUCUUGCUCUUUUUGUCUUUUUAACUCCUCUUCUUUUUUUAUUUCUUCUUGUUUCAUUUUCUUCUCCAUUCUUUCUUGCUUCCUUUUAUUUAUUUUCUUUUUUUUCAUACGUUUUUCUUUAGUAGAUACUCUCUUCUUCGAUUUUUUUUUGUCAUUUCUUGUACUCUUUUUGUUUUUCCUUUGCUUCUUUUGCUUUUUUUUCUUAUUCCUAGAUUUACCUCUUUUUCUUUUCAUCAAUUCUAAAAUUGAGACUUGUGAAGAAUAUUUGACGAGGCCUUUUUCCUCCACAUCUUUUUCCAAGCUUGUAAUAUAAA
rnacentral:antisense_RNA from 1 species